UACUUGUACCAACUGGAUGAGCAGCGAACGGGUGAGUAACGCGUGGGGAAUCUGCCUUUGAGCGGGGGACAACAUUUGGAAACGAAUGCUAAUACCGCAUAAAAACUUUAAACACAAGUUUUAAGUUUGAAAGAUGCAAUUGCAUCACUCAAAGAUGAUCCCGCGUUGUAUUAGCUAGUUGGUGAGGUAAAGGCUCACCAAGGCGAUGAUACAUAGCCGACCUGAGAGGGCGAUCGGCCACAUUGGGACUGAGACACGGCCCAAACUCCUACGGGAGGCAGCAGUAGGGAAUCUUCGGCAAUGGACGAAAGUCUGACCGAGCAACGCCGCGUGAGUGAAGAAGGUUUUCGGAUCGUAAAACUCUGUUGGUAGAGAAGAACGUUGGUGAGAGUGGAAAGCUCAUCAAGUGACGGUAACUACCCAGAAAGGGACGGCUAACUACGUGCCAGCAGCCGCGGUAAUACGUAGGUCCCGAGCGUUGUCCGGAUUUAUUGGGCGUAAAGCGAGCGCAGGUGGUUUAUUAAGUCUGGUGUAAAAGGCAGUGGCUCAACCAUUGUAUGCAUUGGAAACUGGUAGACUUGAGUGCAGGAGGGGAGAGUGGAAUUCCAUGUGUAGCGGUGAAAUGCGUAGAUAUAUGGAGGA
rnacentral:rRNA from 1 species